rnacentral:lncRNA from 1 species
GUAAGAGUUAAAUUCGGGCUCUAGGAAGAGGGUUGAGCACCAUGCAGUGUCAUCUGGACAGAGAAAGGCCAGAAACAGGGAAGUCAGUUUAGGAAAAGGUCUUAAGUCCCUGACCCAGGGCAGUGGGAAUGGAAGUGAAGAGGCUUAACAUGGAAUCUGUAGCUCACUGUCUGUCCUGAUCUGUGAGAGCCCUGCCAGCCAGAGCCUCUGUGGAGUCUCAUCUGCACGUGGCACUGUGGACAUGUCUGCCCCAAGUCAGCAGGCUCACCAGGUCUAGCCCCUGUCCUCGGGGACCUUUCCUUCUCCAGGACAGACUGUGCCCAGAGGCAGGCUGAACAUAUCCUAGGUUUCUCCUCCUGCCUCCCUGUGCUUUCAUGAGGCACUGACACCAGGCAGGCAUGUGUCACUCUUAGAACUACC